rnacentral:rRNA from 1 species
CGGGUGAGUAACGCGUGAGGAACCUGCCUCAAAGAGGGGGACAACAGUUGGAAACGACUGCUAAUACCGCAUAAGCCCACAGCUCGGCAUCGAGCAGAGGGAAAAGGAGUGGUCCGCUUUGAGAUGGCCUCGCGUCCGAUUAGCUAGUUGGUGAGGUAAUGGCCCACCAAGGCGACGAUCGGUAGCCGGACUGAGAGGUUGAACGGCCACAUUGGGACUGAGACACGGCCCAG